rnacentral:misc_RNA from 1 species
UGGCUCUCGCAUCGAUGAAGAACGCAGCGAAAUGCGAUAAGUAAUGUGAAUUGCAGAAUUCAGUGAAUCAUCGAAUCUUUGAACGCACCUUGCACCUUUUGGCAUUCCGAAAGGUACAUCUGUUUGAGUGUCGUGAACACCUCAACCUUGCAUUUGCUUCGCGAAUGUGAUGGGUUGGAUGAUGAGCGCUGCCAUGUGCUUGGCUCGCUUCAAAUGUAUAAGCCGGACCGCUCACGUCUCAGGUUCCCCUGGUGUAAUAAAUCACUUCAUCGGGAUGCCCUACAAGGCAGCCAGAGCGUGGAAGGUGGCUCAUAAGCCUACUAUCUCACAUUUUGACCUCAGAUCAGAUGGGACUACCCGCUGA